GGGUCCGUAGUAUAGCUUGGUCUAGUAUUCCGGCUUUGGGAGCCGGCGACGCCAGUUCAAAUCUGGCCGGGCCCA
rnacentral:tRNA from 1 species